UGAAGAUUGCAUUUGUCAAUUAAUAAAAGAAAGAGCAGUGACUGUCGAUAAUCGCGUGCACUCAGACUCACUGCUGUAUGAACCCCGCAGAGAAGCAUUAAACUAGUCAGGAAAUAUACUAUUUAGUUUAGAAUUUCUUUUGGACGAGUUAUAAAAACACCAGACAUGUACAUACAGAAUCCAUAGUAAAGAAUCAAAUCUCAGAUCAGAAAUUAGUAUUUACUGUAUUGUUAAAAAUUAAUAUUUUUUAUUGAUUAUUUCUCAACCGAAAAACUAAGCUUGUGUUUCAUAAUAUUUUGACACAGCUUGUCACGCUGAUCAUUUAUAAGUAAAUACUUAUGUACGAGGUAAUAAAAAAUAAAUAUUAGUUCGUCUACAUUAAUGUGUCGCCUUUCCGUAUCAAGCCUUUUUUUGGAUAGCCUUUAGCUCUUUCAGCCAUUUCACGGAGUAGAUACCAGAAACUGGAGGAGAGCUUACCGCGCAGAUGUCAAACUUGAAAAAUCGGGGCCAUACAACAAGAUAUUCAUAUGAAUUCUGGAAUUGUGCUAUUUUUGAGUGCAACCGAAAUCAGUGAACUUUGAACAAAAAAAAUUACAAAGGAAAAGUUAAUUUAAUCCAACUGUUAUUUUACAAAAAUAAAUAUAAAAUAUUUUGACAUAAAAUUGCUCAAUAAAACAUGGUUUAAAAAAUGU